UACGGAGGGUGGGAGCGCUACCCGGAUUUACUGGGUGUAAAGGGCGUGUAGGCGGUCUCUCAAGUCCGAUGCUAAAGACCGAGGCUCAACCUCGGGAGUGCGUUGGAUACUGUGAGGCUAGACGGUCGGAGAGGGCAGCGGAAUUCUCGGAGUAGCGGUGAAAUGCGCAGAUACCGAGAGGAACGCCAAUAGCGAAGGCAGCUGCCUGGGCGAUUUGUGACGCUGAGGCAAGAAAGCGUGGGGAGCAAACCGG
rnacentral:rRNA from 1 species